AAAACAUCGACAAUAUUGUAUAUUAUCUAUAAAAACACGGAAGAAUGUACUAGAGAUUACCGGAAAGAGUUAGUAGUAUGAAUGACCAUUAUGAAUGAUUUUGACUUAUCUACGAAAUCUUAUUCUAUAAUGACAAUUUCGUCAAAUGUAUACUCAAAAUAUGUGUAAUCGUCGUAGAGAGAAGAGAAAAAGGAAGGUUUGCUUAAACCCCCCCCCCUAUUUCUCAAUAUACAGUAGAACGUACGAAUGCCUUCCCCCUGAAGUUGCUGCAGAAAAAUGAUAAUUUAUUGUCAAACUUGAGUUUCUAUAUCCCAUGCCUAAAAAAUUGACGUGUGUUUUGAUGUCAUCGUUGGUCAUCGUUGUAAACAUUAAACAGUUUAAUGUUUACCAUUACAUUAAAGUUAAAAAUACAUUAAAAUUUUUAAAAAAUGGUAAUGAAUGGUGAAAAAAAGUUAGUGAUUAAAGUGAGGUGACAAAUAUUUUUAUAUUGCAUCAGUAUAAAAGUUUCAUGAAGCGGCCGAAUUAAUUGAUCAUAGGAAAAUUGUAUAAAGAAAACAAUGUAGGGACAAUUUUCAUCAUUGCAUCAACAAUUUUCCAAAAAUGAAGCACUACCUAUUCGUGGCACGCGAGGUUGUCAAAUGCGAAAAAUGCGUUGUCCUUGGUUUUCAAUCCUGGGCGAAGCACGUACCCUAGAACAAUUGGAACGAAAUGAUGGCGAAUUGUCUCUUCUGCAAAAGGAGAAUGCCAUCAUUGAUGGGAGAAACAUUUCCCCGCACCAAAACGGAACCGAAUGUGUUAUAUAACUGGUGAGUUCUUUGGCUUGCUGAUUAUUUGCCUGCUCGAU